rnacentral:rRNA from 1 species
UACGUAGGGUGCAAGCGUUAAUCGGAAUUACUGGGCGUAAAGCGUGCGCAGGCGGUUGUGCAAGACAGAUGUGAAAUCCCCGGGCUUAACCUGGGAAUUGCAUUUGUGACUGCACGGCUAGAGUGUGUCAGAGGGGGGUAGAAUUCCACGUGUAGCAGUGAAAUGCGUAGAUAUGUGGAGGAAUACCGAUGGCGAAGGCAGCCCCCUGGGAUAACACUGACGCUCAUGCACGAAAGCGUGGGGAGCAGACAGG